UACGGGGGGGGCAAGCGUUGUUCGGAAUUACUGGGCGUAAAGGGCUCGUAGGCGGCCAACUAAGUCAGACGUGAAAUCCCCAGGCUUAACCUGGGAACUGCGUCUGAUACUGGAUGGCUUGAAUUCGGGAGAGGGAUGCAGAAUUCCAGGUGUAGCGGUGAAAUGCGUAGAUAUCUGGAGGAAUACCGGUGGCGAAGGCGGGUUGCUGGGCUGACACUGACGCUGACAGCGCGAAAGCUAGGGGAGCGAACGGG
rnacentral:rRNA from 1 species